UGUCAGAUUCUCCAGGUGAAAAGCAAAACUUCAGGCUCUAAGCUGCAGGUCUAUGGAGAUGGAUGGAAACAUGUUGGAAUAUUGAAGAAUUUUUCCUUCUGGUCCUUGUCCUGCUGAAGAGUUUCCCGCCGCGGCGGCCGCUGACGUCACGCUUCAGUCGGCAUUCCUGAUGAGCGGCGCAGCUUCCGGUCGGUUUCCUCUGCUUUCCUUCACGUCCAAACGUCUCCACAAUCCGCUUUACUUCUCUGAACGACGCAGUGACAGCUGGAUGCCGGCCGGCGACGCUAGCAGUAAGAGCUGCUGCCACAAUGGAGACGAAGACGUGAGGGGUCCAAAUGGUUCCGACCGGCCCAAAACCAGCCAGUCACAAAGGACAGUCCAUAAAUCUGUUUACAAGCAGGCAGGCAGUAAAUCAUCAUCAAAUAUGUUGGUCAAUGUUUCAUUUAUUAUGGUUUAAAACCAACAGAAAGUCUAGAAUUAAAGAAACUCAGUAUGUAGCAGGUU